rnacentral:lncRNA from 10 species
CAGAGAGACAGAGAGGAGCCACCCUAAGAAGAGAGACCAGAUACCCUUUUCUCAUCCUUUGAGUUCAACAGAUGUCUCUUCUGGUUGCAAGUGACAGAAGCCCACACAGAAAAGGCUCAGACCAAAGAGAAAUUUAUGGGCUCCUGAAACCGUAUGUCAGAGAGAGAUUGGGCCAGGGCUGGGAUGUGACCCCGGCUCUUUCUUGGUUUCUCCUCGCCGCUUCUCUCUCUCCUGCAGCCUCACAGUCUCAGACAGGAUUCUUUCAAGAAUUGCAAACUUGGCUGAAGACCUUCCUGUCCCCUUUCUUACCUCCCAUGUACAGGAUGGGGGUGAUGAUCCCACUUCUCUGACUCUCACCCAGAAGUUAGGAACUCCUUAAGGGUCAAGAUGGCAGACUAGAAGCAGCUCACGUG